GGCAGUUCUCGGGUGAUGCACCUGGAAUUGGGCUCCCUUCUCUCUGGUUCCGGGUACAUCACCCUAGAACCACA
rfam:Myotis lucifugus cont2.32812, whole genome shotgun sequence.